GAUGAACGCUAGCGGCAGGCUUAACACAUGCAAGUCGAGGGGCAGCAUGAGACGGAGAUUCGUCGAAGUCUUGAUGGCGACCGGCGCAAGGGUGCGUAACGCGUGAGCAACUUGCCCCGUUUCAGGGGGGAUAAACCGGUGGAAACGCCGACUAAUACCCCAUAGCAUCAAUUUAAGGCAUCUUUUAUUGAUUAAAGAAAUUCGGAAACGGAUAGGCUCGCGUGACAUUAGCUAGAUGGCGGGGUAACGGCCCACCAUGGCGACGAUCAGUAGCCGACCUGAGAGGGUGACCGGCCACAUUGGGACUGAGACACGGGCCCAAAACUCCUACGGGAGGCAGCAGUGGGGAAUAUUGCACAAUGGGCGAAAGCCUGAUGCAGCGACGCCGCGUGAGCGAAGAAGUAUUCGGGUUGUAAACUUCUUUUACCAGGGACGAACACAAUGACGGUACCUGGAGAAAAAGCAACGGCUAACUACGUG
rnacentral:rRNA from 1 species